rnacentral:rRNA from 1 species
CCUACAGGGGGCUGCAGUGGGGAAUAUUGGACAAUGGGGGGAACCCUGAUCCAGCCAUGCCGCGUGUGUGAAGAAGGCCCUCGGGUUGUAAAGCACUUUCAGUGAGGAAGAACGCCUGGUGGUUAAUACCCAUCAGGAAAGACAUCACUCACAGAAGAAGCACCGGCUAACUCCGUGCCAGCAGCCGCGGUAAUACGGAGGGUGCGAGCGUUAAUCGGAAUUACUGGGCGUAAAGCGCGCGUAGGUGGCUUGAUAAGCCGGUUGUGAAAGCCCCGGGCUCAACCUGGGAACGGCAUCCGGAACUGUCAAGCUAGAGUGCAGGAGAGGAAGGUAGAAUUCCCGGUGGAGAGGUGAAAUGCGUAGCGAUCGGGAGGAAUACCAGUGGCGAAGGCGGCCUUCUGGACUGACACUGACACUGAGGUGCGAAAGCGUGGGUAGCAAACAGGAUUAGAUACCCCUGUAGUC